UGCGUAGGCGGAUUGAUAAGUCAGUGGUGAAAACCUUCAGCUUAACUGGAGACUUGCCAUUGAUACUGUUAGUCUCGAGUACGGUCAAGGUAGGCGGAAUGUGUAAUGUAGCGGUGAAAUGCUUAGAUAUUACACAGAACACCGAUUGCGAAGGCAGCUUACUGGGCCAUUACUGACGCUGAGGCACGAAAGCGUGGGGAGCGAACAGGAUUAGAUACCCUGGUAGUCC
rnacentral:rRNA from 1 species